GGAGUUGUGGCUCAAUGGUAGAGCACUUACCUAGCAUGUAUGAGGCACUGGGUUUGAUCCUCAGCACCA
rnacentral:tRNA from 1 species